UGGAUCACCUCCUAACAGGGAGAAAAAUACCCGGAUUGUGAUGUCUGAGUACUUUAUUCUCAGGCCAUGAUCUGUCAUCUCUAGGUCGAUCGGUACCUCAAUGGAUGAGCAGCAAGGCGUCAGACCCGUUUGGGUUUGGGGUUCUGUGUUGAGGCAUCUUUUCAGUUCCUAAACUUUGUCUAGGUCACCCCACAGGGUAUCAAGCAAUCCAGCCUUGAACUUGUGAUGGAAGAGCAAUCAUCUUGUAUGAGGGCUCUGCUGUUACGGGUUUUUGUGAUGGAUAGAUUGAGCCUAAUGAGGAAGCAACUCCUGGGCCAUUAGCUCAGGUGGUUAGAGCGCACCCCUGAUAAGGGUGAGGUCCCUGGUUCAAGUCCAGGAUGGCCCAUUCGUGUUUGGGGGUUUAGCUCAGUUGGUAGAGCGCCUGCUUUGCAAGCAGGAUGUCAGCGGUUCGAGUCCGCUAACCUCCAUCUACCAUCUGAAACGCGUUUCCCCAAGGAUGCGGAGUUGAAUUCCGUAAGCUGUGUGGUGUGAUCAAGACCGGACCAAGGGUUAGAGCCGAUGACUUCAGCUUCCUUUCAUUCCAAGCAUUUUGAACAAGCUGCCCGUAAGCAGCAGGGUCAAGACCGCUGGUUGACAGGACGCUGGACUCAAGCCUGAUCCAGAUGUUGCAUGGGCCAAAAGCUCUGCAGACGUCUGAAUCAGCUGCUGUUCAGCAGAACCUUGACAACUGCAUAGGUAAGUCUGGAAAGAUAAAGCAUCUUGCAGAUGCUCAUCUUUUGAUCCUGGCCGAGUAAUCGGGAUGGGAAUCAAGGUGAUGAGUCUUCUGUUUUAAGAGCCGAGACCUUCCAGUGUUCUUCCCAAGCUGGAUGCCAGUGGCGUUCAGGGAUGGGGAGUCUGAUCCUUGCAUUCUGGUGUUGACUCCUGGGGUCUCUGCAAAGAGGCGAUCAGAGGUCAGAACCUAGAAUCUUGAGAGAAUGGGCCUCAACAGCCUGAAGCAUUGGGAGGAUAAUUGGUCAAGCUACAAAGGGCUCACGGUGGAUACCUUGGCACACAGAGGCGAUGAAGG
rnacentral:tRNA from 1 species